AUUGAACGCUGGCGGCAGGCCUAACACAUGCAAGUCGAACGAGUGGCGGACGGGUGAGUAAUGUCUGGGAAACUGCCCGAUGGAGGGGGAUAACUACUGGAAACGGUAGCUAAUACCGCAUACCAUCGGAUGUGCCCAGAUGGGAUGAGCUAGUUGGGGGGGUAACGGCUCACCUAGGCGACGAUCCCUAGCUGGCCUGAGAGGAUGACCAGCAAAACUGGAACGGAGACACGGUCCAGAUUCCGACGGGAGGCAGCAGGGGGGAAUAUUGCAAAAUGGGCGAAAGCCUGAUGCAGCCAGGCCGCGUGUAUGAAGAGGGCCUUCGGGUUGUAAAGUACUUUCAGCGAGGAGGCGUUACUCGCAGAAGAAGCACCGGCUAACUCCGUGCCAGCCGCCGCGGUAAUAC
rnacentral:rRNA from 1 species